GAUGAACGCUAGCGGCAGGCUUAACACAUGCAAGUCGAGGGGUAUCACGCUUUCGGGCGUGAGAGACCGGCGCACGGGUGCGUAACGCGUAUGCAAUCUACCUUUUGCAGAGGGAUAGCCCAGAGAAAUUUGGAUUAAUACCUCAUAGUAUAGAACAAUCGCAUGAUUGAACUAUUAAAGUCACAACGGCAAAAGAUGAGCAUGCGUCCCAUUAGUUAGUUGGUAAGGUAACGGCUUACCAAGACUACGAUGGGUAGGGGUCCUGAGAGGGAGAUCCCCCACACUGGUACUGAGACACGGACCAGACUCCUACGGGAGGCAGCAGUGAGGAAUAUUGGACAAUGGGCGCAAGCCUGAUCCAGCCAUGCCGCGUGCAGGAUGACGGUCCUAUGGAUUGUAAACUGCUUUUGUACGGGAAGAAACACUCCUUCGUGAAGGAGCUUGACGGUACCGUAAGAAUAAGGAUCGGCUAACUCCGUGCCAGCAGCCG
rnacentral:rRNA from 1 species